GCCGAAGUGGUGGAAUUGGCAGACACGCAGCACUUAGGAUGCUGUGCUUCAGGGCGUGCGGGUUCAAGUCCCGCCUUCGGCA
rnacentral:tRNA from 1 species